AUUGAACGCUGGCGGCAUGCCUUACACAUGCAAGUCGAACGGCAGCACGGGAGCAAUCCUGGUGGCGAGUGGCGAACGGGUGAGUAAUGUAUCGGAACGUGCCUAGUUGUGGGGGAUAACGUAGAGAAAUUUACGCUAAUACCGCAUACGAUCUAUGGAUGAAAGCGGGGGAUCGCAAGACCUCGCGCAGUUAGAGCGGCCGAUAUCAGAUUAGGUUGUUGGUGGGGUAAAAGCUCACCAAGCCGACGAUCUGUAGCUGGUUCGAGAGAACGACCAGCCACACUGGGACUGAGACACGGCCCAGACUCCUACGGGAGGCAGCAGUGGGGAAUUUUGGACAAUGGGGGCAACCCUGAUCCAGCAAUGCCGCGUGCAGGAAGAAGGCCUUCGGGUUGUAAACUGCUUUUGUACGGAACGAAACGGUCCUUUCUAAUGCAGAGGGCUAAUGACGGUACCGUAAGAAUAAGCACCGGCUAACUACGUGCCAGCCGCCGCCGUAA
rnacentral:rRNA from 1 species